AGAAGCUGACGAGAGUAGGGGAAGCAGUUCUGACCAUACCAAACGUUCAGAAAACCGUUCAAAAUGCACGGCUCCUCUGUUGAGUCCUGAAUCCAGCUAUUUUUGCAUUGUCAAAUCCUACUCAGAAUGCUGAAUGCACCCCUGAAGCAGCAUUCUCCAUUGUGGGUGACACUGUCGUAUUUGCAAGUGGAAAUCCAUUCAAAGAUGUGGAUUUGGGAAAUGGUCGAAUUGGCCACAGCAAUCAGGGAAACAUGUACCUCUUUCCAGGGUUAGUGUUAAUUUAUGUGUUUAUAUUCUGAAGGUCAGCCUUCCUGGGGAUGAACCGACUAUCUAUCUGAUCAUGCACGAUUGGGCUAGAAAAGAGGGAAAAGUUCUUUAGUUGUGAGAGCUGAGGAAACAGUGACCUCUGCAUCCAACAUUCGAUCUUCACUGCGGAUUUGAUAUUUUGAUAAUAGGGCAAAGGGGAUGAAUUAUUGCUUUGAUAAUAGGGCAUAAAUUUGCACCAACAUCAAUUUGAUAUUCUGUUCGGAGAUAGAUCUCUUUGCGAUCGUAAAAAAAUAAUCAUGAGUUACCCUCUCUCUCACUUUCUCCUUCUCCUUCUUGAAUCUAGGUUGUUGUCUAUCUUUCUCCUGUUCAAAGAAGGAUUUGAAUUUUUUACAAUUUGAGAUUUUAUUUGCUAUUUUUUUUUGUCACAUCGAUUUCUCACCCCAAUCUCUCUCUCUCUCUCUCUCUCUCUCUCUCUCUCUUGCAUUGGAGUGAAUUUGUUAAACUCUAAUUUCUGUUGCUCAUUUUUUUCCCUACAGAUAAUUUAGUACACAGAUUGCCAGUCUCAGAGUCUUACAACAGCAUUCAACACUCCCAUCACUAGCGCUCCUCUCUUGCAUCCCUCUUCAUGUUUGAUCAUUAAGGGUUGUUCUCCCACAAUCUUCUCCCUUCUUUUAUCUCUAUCAGUCCUUCUUCAUCUCUCUCUCUCUCCUUGAUCCAACUAUUUCUCUCACACGAGAACUCUUCAUACCUAUUUUUUGUAGGUAACGUAAAAAGGAGUUGAGGCAUGAAGGCUCAAGAACAUAUCCUGUUUAGGUCAUUGAACAAAGAGAAAACCCUCUGUGAUAAGGAGUAGCUCCAUAUCCCAAUCAUGUGAUGUUUCAAAGUUACGUUUUAUAACAUUGAUGCUCAAUACAAUGAUUUUUUUUUUCUCGUUCUUUUUCUCAUGUGAAGUUGUAGCCGAAAAUUGGUUUUAUUACAGAAAGAUUAAAAAAUACUAUGGGUAAGAUUUGUACCUUCCACCUUA